rnacentral:rRNA from 1 species
UACGAAGGUCCCAAGCGUUAUCCGGAUUUAUUGGGUUUAAAGGGUGCGUAGGCGGCCUGUUAAGUCGGGUGUGAAAGCCCUGGGCUCAACCCAGGAAGUGCACUCGAAACUGGCGGGCUUGAAUAUGGAAGAGGGUCGCGGAAUUCCCGGUGUAGAGGUGAAAUUCGUAGAUAUCGGGAGGAACACCAGUGGCGAAGGCGGCGACCUGGGCCAAUAUUGACGCUGAGGUGCGAAAGCGUGGGGAGCAAACAGG